UAAACAUUAUCAAGAAAAACGUUGCCUAAAUAUUCUCUCCAAAAAACAUAUAGUACAUUUAAAUAAGUGUUGUCUUUACGAAUGACAACAUUUUACAAAACGUUGCCUAAACAAUAGGCAACAUUGAAAAUGUGUUGCCUAAACAUUAUGAGAAAAAACGUUGCCUAAAAGUUAUCCCAAAAAACGUUGCCUAUUCUACCAAUAUAAGGCAACGGCUGCAAAAAAGUGUUGCCUAAACCUAAGCCCACGGCUGCAUAUUCCACGAUUGGAAAAGCGUUGUCAAAGCGUUGCCUAAAGUUAAGACAACGCUUUUCCUACUUUAGGCAACGCUUUUUAGGUGUUGUCUAAGGUAAAAAAUGGUGUAGUGCAAG
rnacentral:lncRNA from 1 species